CUGAAAGGGUUGCUAAUACCGCAUGUGAUUGAGAGAGACUAGAAGCUCUUGAUUAAAGGAGAAAUCCACUUUGGGAGGGGCCUGCGUCCCAUCAGCUAGUUGGUAAGGUAACGGCUUACCAAGGCGAUGACGGGUAGGGGACCUGAGAGGGUGACCCCCCACAAUGGAACUGAAACACGGUCCAUACACCUACGGGUGGCAGCAGUAGGGAAUAUUGCACCAUGGGCGAAAGCCUGAUGCAGCAACGCCGCGUGAGUGAUGAAGGCCCUCGGGUCGUAAAACUCUUUUCAAGAGGAAGAGGAAGGACGGUACUCUUGGAAUAAGCCUCGGCUAACUACGUGCCAGCAGCCGCGGUAACACGUAGGAGGCGAGCGUUAUUCGGAUUUACUGGGCGUAAAGCGCGUGUAGGCGGUUCUUUAAGUUGGAUGUAAAAGCUCCCGGCUUAACUGGGGGAGGACGUUCAAAACUAGAGAACUUGAGUACGAGAGAGGAAAAUGGAAUUCCGGGUGUAGUGGUGAAAUGCGUAGAUAUCCGGAGGAACACCAGUGGCGAAGGCGAUCUUCUGGCUCGAGACUGACGCUCAGACGCGAAAGCUAGGGUAGCAAACGGGAUUAGAGACCCCGGUAGUCCUAGCUGUAAACGAUGUAGACUAGGCGUUGGUGGAGUAAAAUCCAUCAGUGCCGCAGCAAACGCAAUAAGUCUACCGCCUGGGGACUACGGCCGCAAGGUUAAAACUCAAAGGAAUUGACGGGGCCCCGCACAAGCAGCGGAGCGUGUGGUUUAAUUCGAUGCCACACGAA
rnacentral:rRNA from 1 species